rfam:Lentinula edodes NBRC 111202 DNA, contig: scaffold627.
CCGACCUUAGCUCAGUUGGAAGAGCACAAGACUGUAAUUGGUUAUCUAAUCUUGGGGUCGCCUGUUCGAACCAGGCAGGUCGGA